rnacentral:lncRNA from 1 species
AGGAGCAGUGAAGUAGUUCACUUUUGCUAACAGCACUGUGCUUUAAAUGGAGGGAGUCAAGUCUUCCACACUCUCCCUAAUUGGCCCCCUCACUUUUUCCUUUUUACUGCUGUCUCCUCUUCCUCCAACAGAAAAGGAAGAGAGCAAAGUAGGUAACAAUCCAAAAGGAGCAACUCUCAAGAAGAGGCAAGAGAUGGUUUAACUCAUUCUAAAUCUUUAUUCUGCAGCAGUAAGGAGAGUAGUUCCGUAGAUGGUCUACCAUGAGGUUCAGGAACUAAAGACCCCCAUCAAUGCACAAAAGGAUCAGAGUUCCAGUUCCACUGCACAGAUUGGAGAAUAUGUGAAUAUUGCCCAGCAGAAACUGAAAUCAACUUUCCACAUUUACAUUUUACAGUAGAUAAUGCCUUCCGAACCCUUUAAAAAUGUAUCAAUGUGCGUUGAAGCUCCCUAAAUACUGAUUCAAUAUUUCUAAUGUAAGACUAGGACCACAAUUAUGGCUUCUUGCAUAUAAUGUAAAAAAUUCCACAGCAAAUUUAAUAGACACUUCAGUUUCCAAAGUGACACCAUCAUUUGUGUGUGUGUGCGCCCUGGCUGGCAAUACUGUUGAAUGUGCAUUCCCAAUACACAUGUAAAUGGUGAACUGAACAAAAUAUACUGUUAGGUGAGGGAAUCUUGACAGUUUAAUGCUGUAUGUUACAAAUUUCUGAAAGAACAAAUUUCGUCUAUUGGAAAAAGAUAUCUUCUUCAUAUGACUUACAAUGUCAUGAUCAGAGCAGUCCUUUUAUUUUUCUUAUAAGUCAGAAAAUAAAAUAAACUCCAAUAAGACAGAAAAUUGAGCAACUGUGUCAAGGGCAGCCCUUCCCUUUAGUUCUAUAGCAAAGCGAGGCAAGUGGAGAGAUCAAGUGAGGAAGUGUAAAUCAUUCAUGGGCCUGAUGUGUAGCUUUUCUUGCUAACCAGAUUCAUUUUCCUAAAUGGUGUUUGGGAUUAGAUGUAUGUGGGUCAGUAAUACUCUGUGAGGGAUGCUAUACUUGCAGAGUCCGGGGCUAAUUAGCUCAGACCAUGACUCAGCACGAACAUCUCUCUUCUACAAUUGCAUCCAUCUGUGGCUGAAGAGCUGCGCUAAUCAGGAAGCUACCCCAACCAGCAAAGAUCAGAACAACUGAAAAAAGGGUAUUCACAAUAAAAAGUCAAAGUUUAAUCUAGAAAGUUGGCAGCUGGAGGAGAUCAACACAAACAGGUUAGUAAGAGAAAAAUCUGAGAGAAUGAGAGAUGAAGGGCUUUUUCUCUGGAUACACACAUUUCUUAGGCAAAGGAAAAGCUUAUAGAGGGUGUUGAAAGGCCAGGACUCAUGCAGUAUCAUCAUAAAGCACAUAUGUUUUCCCCACACCUGUUGAAAUCUGCUCUAUGGGGAUAGAUUUCUUCCACUCCAGAGUAAAAUCUCCACCUAGUCCCAAAGCUUAUUUGCUCACUCUUAGACCGCAAGAAACCCCCACGCCAUUUUGGUAAAAAAAAAAAAAAGUUUCAGUUCUGUAGUUAAUAUUUCCAGUCCAGUAUAAUAAUCAAACGUCUGAAGUUAUUCAAAGAUACUUUCUCCUCUCACUCAAGUCUGGUGCUGUCUGGAAAUGGGAAAGCGAGGAGGAAGACAGGCUCAACUUUUCUGAUGUUUCCAGCCUCUUAAGGGGAGGGAAAGAUCCCAUUGUGCUAUCACUGGUGUGAGUAGCUACACUGUUUAGUGGGACUGGAAUAUGUAUAAAGCGGAUUUUUUUUAUUUUGUGGAGCACUCCAUCCCUAGGGAGCUGUUCUCAAUAGGGCAGAGGUACGAGAGAAGAAACUGCCACCCUUCCUCCAUGCUGGCAAGGAAGGUUGAAAUUCUCUUUGUCUCCAAUACAACUCUUUUAUAACCCCAGGUGUCUGGGGCCAAGGGACACAAAAAAGAUUUUAGACACCACUUUGCACAGUGUGAAUAGAAGGCCUUGCACCUCAAUUUGGGCUGUGGGUGUAUUUCUCAUGUAUUGUUAUGAGGCAAGCAGCCCCUAAGGAGGACACUGCAGUCAGAAAUGCCAAUUCCAAAAUUACUUGUCACCUUACUGCCUGACUUUGCUUAUAGAUCAUUCUUAACAUACAGACCCUUUCCCCGUGACUACACAGUGCCAUUGAUUACAUUCAUUUCACUUUAGAUAUUUCUGUUUCUAGCCUCUGUUCCAGCACUGCAGUGAUGAAUUCAAGUUCCCUCUGUGCUCUGCAAAAUGCCUGCAGCAAACAGCUCAUCAAGAGAAUCCUACAGAAAUGCCUCUACAGCUGGGGUCAGAGUGGCUUUUGAGACCUUCUUUAACUCAGAGGGAGAGAGCAAAACAAAUUCUUUCAAGCUGAUUAUUACCUGGAAGAUUCUCCCACUGUAAGGUUGUUUCUUAUCUUCUUCUACGAGACGUCGCCCUUCUGAAAGAACUUCAGCAGCAGUUCUAGCCAACAAAAAUUUUUCUUCAGCACAAGAGAUAUCUAUACUCAGUGGCAAUUCAGACAAUCCUGAAGACCCUUGGAAUGACUCCACUUUUGUUCUUCACGUCUGCUUCCCUGCUACAGUGAAUAUAAAGAUCCAAAUUUAUAAAAGAUUAGUAUUUUAGCAUCUAAAAAACUGUCAAACUGUUCAAAUAGUUAAACUAUUUGUAUUUCCUAUAUGUCUCUCUAGUUUUCCCCUCGGUGUUAUAUUUGAUGCUUAAUUGCAUUUGCCAUUUCAUUAAUGAGGUGAAAUUUAAUUUCAUUUGGGCAACAUUUCAAUACCGUGCCUUAGUAUUUGAUCACCAAAUCAUAUAUUUAUUUUAAUAUUAUAUAUUGAUUAUACAUAUUUUACGUUUACAUAAAUGUAUGUGUAUAUAUGUGUGUAUAUACAUAUAUAUGUUAUAUACAUGUGUGUGCCAUUAACAUUUUGUGCUCCAAAAUUUCUAAAUCUAAAGGCGAUAUAUUUCUCUAGGCACACUCACAAAUUUACAAGUAUAUUAUUUUCAUUAACGCACAGCAUGUCUAUUAAAUACAUAUGUUGCAAUAAUUUCUACAUA